rnacentral:sRNA from 1 species
CGCGGUUCUGUCUGGGAAGGAGAGAAAAUGGCGGCGGAGCCGAACAAGACCGAAAUCCAGACUCUUUUUAAGAGGCUUCGCGCAGUUCCAACCAACAAGGCCUGUUUCGACUGCGGCGCCAAGAAUCCGAGUUGGGCCAGCAUCACGUACGGUGUUUUCUUGUGCAUUGACUGUUCCGGGGUGCACCGCUCCCUGGGCGUCCAUCUGAGCUUCAUCAGGUCCACAGAGUUGGAUUCCAACUGGAACUGGUUCCAGCUGAGGUGUAUGCAGGUCGGCGGGAAUGCCAAUGCGACGGCUUUUUUUCGCCAACAUGGAUGCACAGCCAAUGAUGCCAACACCAAAUAUAAUAGCCGAGCUGCCCAGAUGUACCGGGAGAAGAUCCGGCAGCUGGGGAGUGCGGCCCUGGCUAGGCAUGGCACUGAUCUUUGGAUAGACAACAUGAGUAGUGCCGUUCCUAAUCACUCCCCAGAGAAGAAGGACUCUGAUUUCUUCACAGAACACACUCAAAACUGAAAAGCUCCAUCAUUGGCAAGAAGAAGCCAGCAGCAGCUAAGAAAGGGCUGGGUGCCAAGAAAGGCCUAGGGGCCCAGAAGGUGAGCAGCCAGAGCUUCAGUGAGAUUGAGCGGCAGGCUCAGGUGGCAGAGAAGCU